GACUAGUUAAAAGGCAGUUGGUUCUCUUUCUAUUCUUAUAUCAACACUCCAUCAACAGGAAUUAAGAAAACAGCAUAACUAGGCUCCAGCUCCUCGCUGAGGGCAAUUAAUCAGGACAGAAGAGUCGGGAGGUAAACUGGAAUGCUGCCAAAUAAAUCAACCUGUUUUUGUUCCUACAUUUAUCUUUGUUAAUUCUCAUAGGCCAUCUUAAGAGUCUGAUCUUUGAUUCAUGUAACAGAAUUUUGAUCUCCAAAUGCAAGAAGGGUUGUGCUGGCUUCACAAUUAAUGACCUAAUUUUGCCGCACUGCAUGAUGCUCCCCAACGUUGAUCUGACUCGGAGGCAAGUCUGUUCAACAUGAUGUCAGCAAGAAUUAUUUUGACAGCUGCCAGCGCAGUAACACAGACUCAAAAAGUUUUCAUUUUAGUAUGUGGUGUUCCAGAAUAUUGGUGUGAUGUAUACAUGCCAACGGACAAUCAGACAGUAGCAUAACGUUCAAGAGAACUCACAAGGAAAAGUGAUCACAACAAUUAAACAAAGCAUCAGUUUUCUCAGUGAACAAUAGGAGAUAAACCCAAGCACACAAAAAUAUCCCCUCGAAUUUCAAAUGGGAAUAAAAGAAUCAAAGGCGUAUUCUUCCUCUUGAUGGUCUCCGGUAUUGCAUUACAGCCAGAAGAGUGAUUCUAAACCACAUGAAAUGCUUUCCCUGAUCCAUGGAGUAUUGGCUGUUGACAGGUCCUACUUAGUCAGAGGAGAGUGCCUCUGUGGAUGGGCUACAGUUUUCAUUCUCAGGACUGAUGGUCUAGCAUCAGAUUCCAUGAUAAACUUGCUUGAAGCAUGGUCUUGUGUUUUCUAACAGCGUUAUUAGAUAAACAUUCGGUAUCUGCAUUUCAGAGUGGUAACACAAGGAUAAAUCAAAUAGCAAAUUAAAUUUAGGUAUGCCAUCUGCUGCCUUUAUUUUAUGAAUUCCAGCCCAUAGGACAUUGACUGGGCAUGAAUGUCUAAGCCAUUGUCUUUUAUGGUCAGAUUUACUACAAACAUUGGACAAAUGUUCAUCCAAGCUGUUGGUCUUCUUGGAAAGAGUAAAAUUCAGCAAAAGUGAAUUUUUUUUUUAGUUGUUGUAAGUUUUUUGUUUUAAUAAAAAUAAACCACAACAGAAGAAAAAACAGCAUGUACUAUUUUCUCCGAGUGCAACAUCUCAGCAGGCUUUAGGAACUCAUCUGCAAGGGGUAAAUUGUUUAAUGCGUAAUUGUAAGCAGAACUGUAAAAAGCCAUAUUAGGCUUCCAUGAUUUUAUUCUCUUCUUCUGGUAAAAGAUCAUUACUUCUCCCUGGGCCCCUAAUGGUUAAACCUCUUACUACUUUUCUAAGAAAGUUCUUGAUUUCUUCUGAUGGUAACUGUUAUGCCAUGUCUUUAUUCCCCAGUGGUUUCAUUAAGAAUUUAUAUUUUCUUAGUGCUUCUGAGGAAAUUUCCCUUUAUUUCUUUUAUGUAAUUUUUAUUUGUAAAUUAGAAAUAACUUUACAAGUAAAAAUUAAAUAUAUUUAUGGUGUAUUACUUGUUUUGAUAUAGUAUGUACAUUGUGGAAUGGCUAAGAUGUUUAACACAGGCAUUACCUCACAUACUAGUCUUUUUUUUGGUGAUGAAAACAUUAAAAAUGUAUUCUUAACAAUUUUCAAAUAUUCAAUAUAUUGUUAUUAACUGUAAUCAUCAUGAUGUACAACAGAUCUCUCAAACUUAUUUUUUUCUAACUGAAAUUUUGUGUCAUUUUUCUUACCAAAUCAGUAUAAAUAGAAUAAGACAUUUUCUUAUUCUUUUCAACACCUGUAUUUUUAAAACUCUUCAUUUCUUGGAAGGGCAAUAGGUAUAUUUUCCUUGAGUAGUCCAAUGUAAAGUAUGAAUUUACAGACAUAAAAUUACGUUUUGGUGCUCUCGUUUGGAGGCGGUUUUAUCUUUUAAUAUUGAUGCCAACCUGGUUUUUUUAACAUCAUUUGCUCACAGUGGUUACCAGGGACUAGUAGUGCUGCAUUUCAAGGACUUUUGCAGGUUUUUUAGCUAACACCAUAAAAUGAGUUCUCUAUUUCUGAGGCUAAUAAAAGUCUUAAUGGUAUGUGCAUCCAACAGAUGGGACAGAGGGCUAUUUUGGCAGUGGGCAGUUGAAAUCAGCCCUCAGUUGUUUGUAUAAGGCACUCACUAAAGUCAAUAAAAGGUAAUUUUCACACACAAUUUAGUUCAGAGUGUAAAAUGUUGGGAAGUAUAGCUGGUGUAAGUCCAAUGGGCAUAAGGGUAGCAGUUGGUAAAAGUUGUAUUUGAUG
rnacentral:lncRNA from 10 species